rnacentral:rRNA from 1 species
GACGAACGCUGGCGGCGUGCUUAACACAUGCAAGUCGAACGGAAAGGCCCUGCUUUUGUGGGGUGCUCGAGUGGCGAACGGGUGAGUAACACGUGAGUAACCUGCCCUUGACUUUGGGAUAACUUCAGGAAACUGGGGCUAAUACCGGAUAGGAGCUCCUGCUGCAUGGUGGGGGUUGGAAAGUUUCGGCGGUUGGGGAUGGACUCGCGGCUUAUCAGCUUGUUGGUGGGGUAGUGGCUUACCAAGGCUUUGACGGGUAGCCGGCCUGAGAGGGUGACCGGCCACAUGGGGACUGCGAUACGGCCCAGACUCCUACGGGAGGCAGCAGUGGGGAAUAUGGCACAAUGGGCGGAAGCCUGAUGCAGCAACGCCGCGUGCGGGAUGACGGCCUUCGGGUUGUAAACCGCUUUCGCCUGUGACGAAGCGUGAGUGACGGUAAUGGGUAAAGAAGCACCGGCUAACUACGUG